GACGAACGCUGGCGGCGUGCUUAACACAUGCAAGUCGAACGGAAAGGCCCUGCUUUUGUGGGGUGCUCGAGUGGCGAACGGGUGAGUAACACGUGAGUAACCUGCCCUUGACUUUGGGAUAACUUCAGGAAACUGGGGCUAAUACCGGAUAGGAGCUCCUGCUGCAUGGUGGGGGUUGGAAAGUUUCGGCGGUUGGGGAUGGACUCGCGGCUUAUCAGCUUGUUGGUGGGGUAGUGGCUUACCAAGGCUUUGACGGGUAGCCGGCCUGAGAGGGUGACCGGCCACAUUGGGACUGAGAUACGGCCCAGACUCCUACGGGAGGCAGCAGUGGGGAAUAUUGCACAAUGGGCGGAAGCCUGAUGCAGCAACGCCGCGUGCGGGAUGACGGCCUUCGGGUUGUAAACCGCUUUCGCCUGUGACGAAGCGUGAGUGACGGUAAUGGGUAAAGAAGCACCGGCUAACUACGUGCCAGCAGCCGCGGUGAUACGUAGGGUGCGAGCGUUGUCCGGAUUUAUUGGGCGUAAAGGGCUCGUAGGUGGUUGAUCGCGUCGGAAGUGUAAUCUUGGGGCUUAACCCUGAGCGUGCUUUCGAUACGGGUUGACUUGAGGAAGGUAGGGGAGAAUGGAAUUCCUGGUGGAGCGGUGGAAUGCGCAGAUAUCAGGAGGAACACCAGUGGCGAAGGCGGUUCUCUGGGCCUUUCCUGACGCUGAGGAGCGAAAGCGUGGGGAGCGAACAGGCUUAGAUACCCUGGUAGUCCACGCUGUAAACGGUGGGUACUAGGUGUGGGGUCCAUUCCACGGGUUCCGUGCCGUAGCUAACGCUUUAAGUACCCCGCCUGGGGAGUACGGCCGCAAGGCUAAAACUCAAAGGAAUUGACGGGGCCCCGCACAAGCGGCGGAGCAUGCGGAUUAAUUCGAUGCAACGCGUAGAACCUUACCUGGGUUUGACAUGGAUCGGGAGCGCUCAGAGAUGGGUGUGCCUCUUUUGGGGUCGGUUCACAGGUGGUGCAUGGCUGUCGUCAGCUCGUGUCGUGAGAUGUUGGGUUAAGUCCCGCAACGAGUGCAACCCUUGUUCACUGUUGCCAGCACGUUAUGGUGGGGACUCAGUGGAGACCGCCGGGGUCAACUCGGAGGAAGGUGGGGAUGACGUCAAGUCAUCAUGCCCCUUAUGUCCAGGGCUUCACGCAUGCUACAAUGGCUGGUACAGAGAGUGGCGAGCCUGUGAGGGUGAGCGAAUCUCGGAAAGCCGGUCUCAGUUCGGAUUGGGGUCUGCAACUCGACCUCAUGAAGUCGGAGUCGCUAGUAAUCGCAGAUCAGCAACGCUGCGGUGAAUACGUUCCCGGGGCU
rnacentral:rRNA from 1 species